rnacentral:rRNA from 1 species
AUGCAUGGGUCAUGUACCCCACGGACUGGGAUAGCUGCUGGAAACGGCAGGUAAUACCAGAUGGUCAGGGCGGGUUUCAUAACCUGCCUUGUAAACGGUAGGUUUUCCUUCUGCCGUGGGAGCAGCCCAUGUCCUAUUAGCUUGUUGGUGAGGUAAUGGCUCACCAAGGCAAUGAUGGGUAGCCGGACUGAGAGGUUGGCCGGUCACACUGGGACUGAGACACUGCCCAGACUCCUACGGGAGGCUGCAGUCGAGAAUCUUCCGCAAUGGACGCAAGUCUGACGGGGCGACGCCGCGUGU